rnacentral:lncRNA from 1 species
AUGCAGGACCAGCAGGAAGAUGAUUUUGCAGAGCAGCUCAGUGAGAGCACGGAGGACCUCAGCCUGGAUUUAGGGGCCCUGCAGGGCAGCGAGUAUCUCCAGGACCUCGGCCUAGCAGCCCCUUCCCCCAGCCCGGCCGGUGGGGCCUCCGGCAGCAGCCCCUUGAAGACAGAAGCUGAGAGGGACUCGCCCUUCUCGAGCUCCGCAGGGGCCCAGACUCUGGUUCGGAGACGCAGCUGGGAGAGGUCACGGAGCUGCUCAGAGGACUGGCAGAGGCUCAGCUUUGCCCCCCUGCCUGUGGAGGAGAGCCCCUGCCUCCCCCGGACACUGGCUAGUCUGGCUCUCAACCUGUCCGGGGAAGGGUUGAAGACUUGGACCCAAGGCUGUCUGUCUGGAGGCGGGACUGCAGCCGAGCACCCUGGCAAGGACUGUGCUAGCCUCGAGAAGAGAGCAAGGUCAAGGUCGGUGCCCCUGGCCUUCGAGGAGACCGCCUCCCUGGACCUCACGCUGAGCUCAGAAGCGGCACCUGCACGAGGCCUCAAACCCCAGGAGCUGGAGAGCCUAGAAAAGGACCAUGUGGAGCCCGAGCACGUGUGAGUGUCCUCCUGGGCGGGGUGACGCAGGGCUGGGCUGCGGGAGGAGCAUCGCUCACGGAGAGGGGCCCGGGAUGGGGGCCUCCUGAGCCUGCGCAGGACCCAGGGAAUGGGUCUGUGACCCGGCCACCUCGGGCCUGGGGUGCUUCAGGAACUUCGCCAGUACCACGGGUAAGGGGCCGGGACUGGUGCGGGCGAGGCCCAGGGCAGAUGGAGAGAGCAGGUGUAGAGGGACAGCGAGGGACGGGUGUGGAGGCGGGUUCGGGAGCGGUGUAGGAACAGGAGUGGGGAACAGGAGGGAGGGGAGGCAGGGUAGGAGGACAGGGAAACGAAACGCCACUUGGGCCAGCUGGUCCCCUUCUAGGUCCCCUUAGUUAAAGUCAUCGUAUCACAGUGACCCGGGCACACCCAGGUUUGCAGAAGCACAGCUCACAACAGCUAAAUCGUGGGAGUGGCCCCGAUGUCCACCUACAGACGAAUGGAUGAAGACAGUGCGGUGUUUGCACCCCAGAGGACUGCCCGCCAUAGAGAAGGAUGAGCCUGAGUCAUUUGUAGGCAGACGGAUGCACCUUGGGACCAUAGUGUUCUGUGAAGUAAAUCAGACGCAAAGGCUUAAAUAUCACAUGGCUUCUCUUAUAUGAGAAACCCACAGUAAAAAUAAAGAGCAAAAUAAGAUAGACCACAGAAAGCAGGAGCAUAGCUGGUUCUCAAAGGGGAAGGGGCAAAGAGGUGGAGGGAGGGAGAGAAGAGCUGAGGAAAAGAAGGAACUGGGGUAUGCUGUGUACCUGUGCCCACGCCGCACAAGGAAUCUCAGCAUCCUGCACGACACACGUGUACUGAUAAAUACAACAAAAAUAAACAGGGGACCAGUGUGGAGACAGGCGAGGCGGGAAUGGGCAUCGGAAACAGGAGUGUGGGAGGAAGCCCGUGGAGGCAGGGCCAGGGAGAGGCGCCGAGAUGCCAGCUCGGGGAACGGAUGUGGGCACGGAUGGGCCGGCUAUGAGCAGAAGCCGAG